rnacentral:rRNA from 1 species
AGAGUUUGAUCAUGGCUCAGGAUGAACGCUAGCGGCAGGCCUAACACAUGCAAGUCGAGGGGUAACAGAGAAAAGCUUGCUUUUUUGCUGACGACCGGCGCACGGGUGCGUAACGCGUAUACAAUCUACCGCUUACUGGAGGAUAGCCCAGAGAAAUCUGGAUUAAUACUCCAUAGUAUAUAGAAGAGGCAUCUUUUUUAUAUUAAAGGCUACGGUAAGUGAUGAGUAUGCGUCCUAUUAGCUAGUUGGUAUGGUAACGGCAUACCAAGGCGACGAUAGGUAGGGGCCCUGAGAGGGGGAUCCCCCACACUGGUACUGAGACACGGACCAGACUCCUACGGGAGGCAGCAGUGAGGAAUAUUGGACAAUGGGCGCAAGCCUGAUCCAGCCAUGCCGCGUGCAGGAAGACUGCCCUAUGGGUUGUAAACUGCUUUUAUACAGGAAGAAACCUUUCCACGUGUGGGAAGCUGACGGUACUGUAAGAAUAAGCAUCGGCUAACUCCGUGCCAGCAGCCGCGGUAAUACGGAGGAUGCAAGCGUUAUCCGGAAUCAUUGGGUUUAAAGGGUCCGUAGGUGGACAGAUAAGUCAGANGUGAAAUCCUGCAGCUCAACUGUAGAAAUUGCCUUUGAUACUGUUUGUCUUGAGUCAUUAUGA